rnacentral:rRNA from 1 species
GGCUUACCAAGGCGACGAUCAGUAGCCGACCUGAGAGGGUGAUCGGCCACAUUGGAACUGAGACACGGUCCAAACUCCUACGGGAGGCAGCAGGGGGGAAUAUUGCACAAUGGGCGAAAGCCUGAUGCAGCAACGCCGCGUGAGUGAUGAAGGCCUUCGGGUCGUAAAACUCUGUCCUCAAGGAAGAUAAUGACGGUACUUGAGGAGGAAGCCCCGGCUAA